rnacentral:rRNA from 1 species
GAUGAACGCUGGCGGCGUGCCUAAUACAUGCAAGUCGAGCGAACAGACGAGGAGCUUGCUCCUCUGACGUUAGCGGCGGACGGGUGAGUAACACGUGGAUAACCUACCUAUAAGACUGGGAUAACUUCGGGAAACCGGAGCUAAUACCGGAUAAUAUAUUGAACCGCAUGGUUCAAUAGUGAAAGACGGUUUUGCUGUCACUUAUAGAUGGAUCCGCGCCGCAUUAGCUAGUUGGUAAGGUAACGGCUUACCAAGGCGACGAUGCGUAGCCGACCUGAGGGGGUGGACGGGCCAAACUGAACUGGGACCCCGGCCAGAAUCCCACGGGAGGCCGGAGGAGGGAAUUUUUCGCAAUGGGGGGAAACCUGACGGAGCAAAGCCGGGGGGGGUAUGGAAGGCUUUCGAUCUGUAAACUCUGUUAUUAGGGAAGAACAAAUGUGUAAGUAACUAUGCACGUCUUGACGGUACCUAAUCAGAAAGCCACGGCUAACUACGUG